UUGUGCAGGGUGGAGAAGCAGGGCACGUGAAGGGCCAUCCAGCUGUGUAGCUUCGCCGGGUGCCCAAACUGUCGAUGGCGGCGAAUGUGCAUGCUGUGGAUGGCCGUUCAUGUGUUCGUCUUCUCCACCGAGCACGG
rnacentral:pre_miRNA from 1 species